UACGAAGGGGGCUAGCGUUGCUCGGAAUCACUGGGCGUAAAGCGCACGUAGGCGGAUUGCUAAGUCAGGGGGUGAAAUCCUGGAGCUCAACUCCAGAACUGCCUUUUGAUACUGGCGAUCUCGAGUUCGGGAGAGGUGAGUGGAACUGCGAGUGUAGAGGUGAAAUUCGUAGAUAUUCGCAAGAACACCAGUGGCGAAGGCGGCUCACUGGCCCCGAUACUGACGCUGAGGUGCGAAAAGCGUGGGGAGCAAACAGGG
rnacentral:rRNA from 1 species